UAUGGUCUGGGUUCUCUCGUUGUAGGAUUUUCCAGGGGGAUUCCCCGAGUAAACGAAAACGGCAUUCCUUCGGUUAAACGGGUUUAAAAAGGUUAAAUAAUGAUGUGGCACUCCUACAAAACCUUUUCAAAGGCGCCUUACACAUUUCAAUACUUCGUUACAGUUUGCAAUCCGCUUUAUUAUAAGCUUGAUGAAUCGUGAUAUGGUGAUAAUGCAUACGUAAAUCACAUACACAGCGUGAUAUAAUAGCCUAUUUGUAGCUGGCUCUGUUCGUUCAUGUUAUCUUUCACACUGCUGACCCGUAUAGCCGUAUGGGUCUAAACCCUCUAAAUCGACGUAAAAAACCAAUGCUGUUCAUCUCAGGCAUCAAAUUUUCUGCGAAAUUUACCAUGUAACACUCCCAAUAAUGUAGAAAACUACAUAGAAUGUGCCUUUUACACCCCCCUCCUCCCAGUUAGUGGUAUUCAAUAGUCACCGGUACAUGUAGGUACAAAAUAGCUGACCAAAGCAAACGUUGGCACAGCGUUGGCCGAAGAGAGGGUCAAAAUAGCUUGCCUAUGCACAUUUCACGCUAUAAAACGUCGAGGUUAUCCCUACGGUACUACAUCAGCGUUAUAUGCGCCAGGACGAACAACGUAAGAACAGAUCCACGUAGCUGGGGUUGUAUGUAAGCAAAACUAUCAAUCAGAAGCCAAUAAAACUCCAAUACUGGGAAAAGACAUAGGGCAAGCAAAAAGCUUAUCAUCUGUUGAAAUGAACUGAUAUAUAUCACCUGCUACAAGUUAGGAUCUCAUUUCAACACCAUGAGCCAAAACUGAGCAUACUUUUCAGUUAAAAAAUGUUUAGCUAAAAAGAAUUGAUUUGCCUGUCAAUCUACUUCAAGGGUUCCUAAUCUAAUGAACUGAAGAGAUAUGAAGUGUCAAGCAUGCCAAGUCACCCUCGUUAACCCUAUGGACAGUAUGCCUCACCAAUGACACCGCGACGCCCCGAGUUGAGAUCUAGUUGUGGUUCUGGGGCUUAAUAUUAUGUGACUCAGCUCUGGCAACCUAAUCUAACCUUUCACACAGCAAAAUUACUCUUUCAUUAAACAAUGUCCUCAUAACUUUCAGUGACUUUAACAACUUCUUAACCCCUACUAGGCACAAGUUUGUUUGCAAUUGUAAUCGAGGGUGAAAUUGGCCUACUGAGUCAAAAAAAAAAAAGUUUCAUCGAGGUAGCACUGAGCAGGAUGAGAGGAGAGAAGUUCACAUGGUUGCUUAUAUGAAAGCCUCUAAACUGGUCACAAGCUGGUCAAAUGCACCAACAUGGUAUUUGGCAAGAUUCUGUCAUCUAGGCAGCUAAUCUUUCAAAGCCAAUACUGAGUUCACCCAUUAAACACUAAAGAAGUAAUUUCUUUUAUAAUUCACAUGUAUAAAGAAUCUAGACCAAAUUAACUGUAAUACUCUGUAAUCCUGUAGUCAAUGUAAUGGCAAAAAAGUUAGUUAAGAUCCUUAUAGGGGUUAAAAACAGGCUUUGUUACAGAUAAAGAGUACAAAAUUAAAAGUAGAAGAAAGAAAAGUAGUAGAAGAAAAAAAAACUAGAAAGGAGAUAAUCAGCUCGUUUGAAAAAUUACUGCUGAAACUCCAAUACAUUUUAUUCCAAAAUUGUGCCUUGGGACUUUAAUUUUAUAAUAGAAUGCAACAGGAAUGUGUUACAAGAGCUGUGAGCCAAUAUUUUUCUAUGCCAAAGGUAAAUCAAACCCAUGAUGUGAACUGGCCAUGAAUCAUAAUG
rnacentral:lncRNA from 1 species